UUUGCCUUGGCAGAGUAAUGCAUUAAAUUUAGGAUUUAAUUAUAUAGGGGGACUAUAGGUAAAA
rnacentral:tRNA from 1 species